AAAUGAAUUGACGGGGGCCCGCACAAGCGGAGGAACAUGUGGUUUAAUUCGAUGAUACGCGAGGAACCUUACCCGGGCUUGAAAUGGAGAGGAAUAUGGUGGAAACAUCAUAGCCAGCAAUGGUCUCUUUGUAGGUGCUGCAUGGUUGUCGUCAGCUCGUGCCGUGAGGUGUCGGCUUAAGUGCCAUAACGAGCGCAACCCUUGUCAUUAGUUACUAACAGGUUAUGCUGAGGACUCUAAUGAGACUGCCACCGUAAGGUGUGAGGAAGGUGGGGAUGACGUCAAAUCAGCACGGCCCUUACGUCCGGGGCGACACACGUGUUACAAUGGGGGGUACAGAGGGUUGCUACUACGCGAGUAGAUGCUAAUCUCUUAAAACCUCUCUCAGUUCGGAUCGGAGUCUGCAACUCGACUCCGUGAAGCUGGAUUCGCUAGUAAUCGCGCAUCAGCCAUGGCGCGGUGAAUACGUUCCCGGGCCUUGUACACACCGCCCGU
rnacentral:rRNA from 1 species